GGGUGACUGAUCAUACCCGCCAGCUGGCUAAUAUCAUAAUUAACAAAGUUGCUACUCUGACCGCAAAGUUUAAUCAAAAAAUUUACCAGUGAUGUGAUGGCACUGUCACAGAGAUCACAAGGGAGACAGAGUGGACUUUUGCUCAAAGUGGAACGACAGAUCUGUGGAGGCAAGAUGAGAAAUUGCAAGCCUGCUCAACCAAA
rnacentral:lncRNA from 1 species